rnacentral:rRNA from 1 species
UCCAAUCGAACUCGGAGAUAGCUGGUUCUCCCCGAAAUAGCUUUAGGGCUAGCGUCGAGGUAAAGUCGUGUGAAGGUAGAGCACUGAAUAUGUGAUGGCCCCAUCUCGGGGUACUGAACAUAAUCAAACUCCGAAUGUCACAAAGAUAUACUCGGCAGUCAGACAGUGGGUGAUAAGGUCCAUUGUCAAAAGGGAAACAGCCCAGACCAUCAGCUAAGGUCCCAAAAUAUAUACUAAGUGGAAAAGGAUGUGGAGAUGUCCAGACAACUAGGAGGUUGGCUCAGAAGCAGCCAUCCUUUAAAGAGUGCGUAACAGCUCACUAGUCGAAUGACUCUGCGCCGAUAAUUUACCGGGGCUAAGUAUAUUACCGAAGCUAUGGAUUUACGCGUAAGCGUGAGUGGUAGGGGAGCGUUCUAUGUGCGGAGAAGCGGUACCGUAAGGAGCCGUGGAGCGCAUAGAAGAGAGAAUGCCGGUGUGAGUAGCGAAACGUGGGUGAGAAUCCCACGCACCGAAAACCCAAGGUUUCCAGAGGAAGGUUCGUCCGCUCUGGGUAAGUCGGGACCUAAGGCGAGGCCGAGAGGCGUAGUCGAUGGACAACAGGUAGAGAUUCCUGUACUUACGGUAUGAAUGAUGGAGUGACGGAGAAGGCUAGCGGAUCCUGCUGAUGGAAAUGCAGGUGCAAGCGAGGUAGCCGACAGCCAGGCAAAUCCGGCUGUCGAAAGGCAAAGGCGUGAGGCGUAUGGAAAGCUGCGGCAAGUACAGAAGUCCGUGAAGCCAGCUUCCAAGAAAAGCUUCUAGUGAUAAUCAUACAGUAACCCGUACCGAAAAUGGACACACAUGGGUGAGGAGAGAAUCCUAAGGUGAGCGAGAGAACUAUAGCUAAGGAACUCUGCAAAAUGACUCCGUAACUUAGGGAUAAGGAGUGCUCAUAGAGAUAUGAGCCGCAGUGAAACGGCCCAAGCGACUGUUUACCAAAAACACAGCUCUAUGCUAAGUCGAAAGACGACGUAUAUGGGGUGACGCCUGCCCGGUGCUGGAAGGUUAAGAGGAUGUGUCAGCGCAAGCGAAGCAUUGAAUUGAAGCCCCAGUAAACGGCGGCCGUAACUAUAACGGUCCUAAGGUAGCGAAAUUCCUUGUCAGGUAAGUUCUGACCCGCACGAAAGGCGUAACGAUUUGGGCGCUGUCUCAGCUGUAGACUCGGUGAAGUCUUAGUACCUGUGAAGAUGCAGGUUACCCGCGACUAGACGGAAAGACCCCAUGGAGCUUUACUGUAGCUUGAUAUUGGACUUUGAUGCAAGAUGUACAGGAUAGGUAGGAGACUGAGAGACAUGCACGCCAGUGUGUGAGGAGUCAAUGUUGGGAUACUACUCUUCUUGUAUUGGAGUUCUAACCGGAUGCCAUGGAACUGGCAACGGGACAGUGUCAGGUGGGCAGUUUGACUGGGGCGGUCGCCUCCCAAAGAGUAACGGAGGCGCCCAAAGAUACCCUCAGCUUGGAUGGAAAUCAAGCGCAGAGUGCAAAGGCAUAAGGGUGUUUGACUGCGAGACCUACAAGUCGAGCAGGGACGAAAGUCGGGCUUAGUGAUCCGGCGGUGCUGAAUGGAAAGGCCGUCGCUCAACGGAUAAAAGCUACCCUGGGGAUAACAGGCUGAUCUCCCCCAAGAGUUCACAUCGACGGGGAGGUUUGGCACCUCGAUGUCGGCUCAUCGCAUCCUGGAGCUGAAGUCGGUUCCAAGGGUUGGGCUGUUCGCCCAUUAAAGCGGUACGCGAGCUGGGUUCAGAACGUCGUGAGACAGUUCGGUCCCUAUCUGUCGUGGGCGUAGGAAGUUUGAGAAGAUCUGUCCUCAGUACGAGAGGACCGGGAUGGACAUAUCAAUGGUGCACCAGUUGUCACGCCAGUGGCACAGCUGGGUAGCUAAAUAUGGAAGGGAUAAACGCUGAAGGCAUCUAAGUGUGAAACCCACUUCAAGAUGAGACUUCCCAUUACGCAAGUAAGUAAGACCCCUUAAAGACGAUAAGGUUGAUAGGUCAGGAGUGUAAGCAUGGCGACAUGUUCAGCGGACUGAUACUAAUAGGUCGAGGACUUAACCUA